GUCCUAGCCGUAAACGAUGGGCACUAGGUGUGGGAGGUAUCGACCCCUUCCGUGCCGCAGCUAACGCAUUAAGUGCCCCGCCUGGGGAGUACGGCCGCAAGGUUGAAACUCAAAGGAAUUGACGGGGCCCGCACAAGCGGUGGAGCAUGUGGUUCAAUUCGACGCAACGCGAAGAACCUUACCAGGGCUUGACAUCCCACGAACCUGCCCGAAAGGGUCGGGUGCCCGCAAGGGAGCGUGGAGACAGGUGGUGCAUGGCUGUCGU
rnacentral:rRNA from 1 species